rfam:Bacillus pseudalcaliphilus strain DSM 8725 super9, whole genome shotgun sequence.
UGGGCUGUAUCAUUCGAACAGCACCGAUUUUUAUUUGAAUAACGAGUUACAAUCAAAUCGGAUCUGCCUUGAUCCAAUAAGGACUAGGACAGAGGG